GUACCGGGGCAAGCGUUGUCCGGAUUUAUUGGGCGUAAAGAGCGUGUAGGCGGCCAGACAGGUCCGUUGUGAAAACUGGAGGCUUAACCUCCAGACGUCGAUGGAAACCGUUUGGCUAGAGUCCGGAAGAGGAGAAUGGAAUUCCUGGUGUAGCGGUGAAAUGCGCAGAUAUCAGGAAGAACACCCGUGGCUAAGGCGGUUCUCUAGUACGGUACUGACGCUGAGACGCGAAAGCGUGGGGAGCGAACAGGAUUAGAUACCCUGGUAGUCCACGCCGUAAACGAUGGGUGCUAGGUGUGGGGGGUGUCGACUCCCCCCGUGCCGAAGCUAACGCAUUAAGCACCCCGCCUGGGGAGUACGGCCGCAAGGCUA
rnacentral:rRNA from 1 species